UACGUAGGGUGCAAGCGUUGUCCGGAAUUAUUGGGCGUAAAGAGCUCGUAGGCGGUCUGUCGCGUCGGCUGUGAAAACCCGGGGCUCAACCCCGGGCCUGCAGUCGAUACGGGCAGACUAGAGUGCGGUAGGGGAGACUGGAAUUCAUGGUGUAGCAGUGAAAUGCGUAGAGAUCAUGAGGAAGACCAGUGGCGAAGGCGGGUCUCUGGACAGUUCCUGACACUGAGGCACGAAGGCCAGGGGAGCAAACGGG
rnacentral:rRNA from 1 species